AGCAGCCGCGGUAAUUCCAGCUCCAAUAGCGUAUAUUAAAGUUGUUGCAGUUAAAAAGCUCGUAGUUGAAUUUCGGGAUCAGUCUAUCGGUCGUGCAAUAGUACGUACUGAUUUUAUUGAUUCCUCCCUUCUGAUGAACUAUGAUGUCAUUAAUUUGGUGUCAUAGGGAAUCAGGACUGUUACUUUGAAAAAAUUAGAGUGUUUAAAGCAGGCUCACGCUUGAAUACAUUAGCAUGGAAUAACGAAAUAGGACGUUUGAUUCUAUUUUGUUGGUUUCUAGGAUCGACGUAAUGAUUAAUAGGGAUAGUUGGGGGCAUUAGUAUUCAAUUGUCAGAGGUGAAAUUCUUGGAUUUAU
rnacentral:rRNA from 1 species